CCGCAUCCAGCCAAAUAAGUUACCAGAUUUGCGAAAUUCGAAUCGAAGGGGACGAGAUCUCGUAGCAUAUAGCAUAGGCAUCACUAUCCAAGCGCAGAUCAGUUCAAAAUUGGGUAAUCCAACCGCAGACCACUACGAACAAGCAGAUCUGAUCGGCUACAGCGAGUGAGGCGCUACUAGCAGGACAGGCAACUGAGGGCUCACCCGGAGAUGUAGGUCUUGCCGGCGAGGUGCGCCUCGAGGGCCUUGAGCCCGUCGGCGGAGUGGAGGUCGGAGAAGGUGACGGCCAUCGGAUCCGGCGAGCUCGGGAGCUUGUCGAAUUCGCUGGGCGGCGGCGGCGGCGGGGAGGCUAAAAUCCCAAAACCCUAGAGACCGAGAGGGGAAUGCGGGGCAGCGAGGGCCGGUUAUUUAUACCUGGCGGGCGCGCCGGUGGGCCCCGCGCGGCGCGCGCCCGUGCGAUCUGGCAUCUACGGUGGGGAUAUUCCCAGGGGAAGCUACACGGGCGUCCUGGCCGUUCGAUCGGAUCUCUCACGAUGGACGGUUGAGAUUCGGUCUCGUCAGCGGAUAGAGCCCUCUCUGCCGCUUGCUCAGCUCCCUCGUCGUCUUCUCCGGCGAGCUCCUGCCCAUGGCGUCGCUCGCUGCCCCGGCCUUCCACUCGCUGGCCGCGCAAAUCUCCAGGGCCUCCACCGCGAGGGCGUCUUCGCAGUGCGUGACCGCGCCCGGCCGCCGAGGAGCGAGGGCGCGGCCUCGGGCGGCGGAGACUGCGCAGGCGGCGGCGGCGGAGACGCCGAGGUUCAGAUGGGAUGAACUUGGGACCGGCCUGUCCGAUCCCCAGGAGCAGGCGAUGCGCGGGCUGUCCCCGAAGCUGCCCAACCGGUGCAGGGCGCUGAUGCCGCGCGUCGUGUCGCUGUCCCCCGGCGAUGAGAACCUCGGCGUGGUCCUUGCGUUCUGGGUGAAGGCCAUGAAGCCCAAGAGGGCCGACUGGUUGCUGGUCCUCAAGGAGCUCAAGGCCAUGGAGAGCCCGCUUCUCGCUGAGGUCAGUGAGCAUUACGUUUCAAUUUCAUCAAUCUUGUUGCUAAAAACUUUUGAGGAAAUGGAAAUUUCGAGCUGUUCUAUGCUAUCCUGUGGUCAGGGACUUGGGGGUGCCUGCUGAAGUAACAGAAUCACCUUGGGAGCAAUCAUGCUCAUGUUUAUGAAGCAAUUGAGUUAGCUAUACUUGAGAAACUGAAACGUUCUCUGAAUGUUGCUGUGCUAGGUUGAGAUCGUUGUUGUUUUUUUGGCACCACCAUUCCCCAAGAUUUGUGAGAUUAUUACUAUUAUUAUUUGCUUGGAGGAUGAACAUGCUCUUAGUUUACCCACAUCUUCUUUAGGGAAUUUUGAGUUUGAAUUUCUGAACUUCUAAUCUGGACUCUUUACUGAAAAUUGGAUUAGAAAUGACUGAAUUUCGGAUUUGCACUUAUUUUGCCAGCAAUGUAACCUUGCAAAUGCACUGUGUUGGCUAGGUGCUAGAAUAUGUGCUGCUGGAGGAUUCUUUCGAAGCGAAUGUGCGCGACUACACCAAACUGAUACAAAUCUACGGCAAGCAAAAUCUGUUGCGGGAAGCCGAGGAAGCAUUCCACGCCAUGAAAGCCAGAGGCCUCCCCUGUGAUCAGGUCAUGCUGACUGCACUGGUGGACAUGUACAGCAAGGCCGGGGAUCUCACCCGCGCAAAGGAGACGUUUAAAGAGAUCGUGCUGCUCGGCCUACCGCUCGACAAGCGCGCAUACGGUUCGAUGAUCAUGGCCUACAUCAGAGCAGACAUGCUAGACCAAGCAGAUGAUCUGAUCAAACAGACGGAGGACCAGCAGGUCUUCGCGGGGAAAGAGGUCUACAAGGCUCUGCUGAGAGCAUACUCGUACAGAGGCGAUUCAGAGGGGGCGCAGCGAGUUUUCGAUGCGGUGCAGUUUGCGGGGACGGUGCCGGACACGAAGCUGUGCGCGCUCCUGGUGAACGCCUACUGCCUCUCCAAUCGGAUCGACGAGGCAGUCUGCGUGACCCGAAACAUGAGGAGUGCGGGACUGGAACCGUGCGACAGGUGUGUCGCCUUGAUUCUGGGCGCGUAUGAGAAUGCCGACAGGCUGGAAGGAGCGCUGGAGUUUCUGGCGGAGCUCGAAGAGAAUGGCGUCGUAAUCGGCCAAGAGCCAUCGCAGUUGCUCGCGGCAUGGUUUGGUAGGCUCGGGGUGGUUCAUGAAGUGGAGCAGGUCCUGGAGGAAGUGGGGAAGAGUGGCAAGAGCAAGCAGAGUUCUUCUGUCCUGAAGGAAGGGGUGAAGAGCAGGAUGAGCGUUCACAGUGUUUCAGUUCAGAAGGAAUGGAGAAGAGGAAGCAGGAGCACACACAGCAUUUCAGUCCAGAAGAAAAGGACAACCAACAGGAAGAGCAAACACAAUAGUAGUCCAUCACCUCUGCAACUGAAGUGAAUUUGUAACUCGAGUGCCAUUAGCAUUCAUAUUAUGACAAUAUGCUGUCAAGAAAUCGCAUGCAAAAUCAUGAAGUGUUGAGUGUAUGUAGCUGAAACUCCAGUAGAAGAAAAUUAAUAUUUGACAAAAAAACUGGUAACAGUAAUGUCCAUUUAACCUUCCUGAAGAACACACAAUCUCAAGUACUAAUCAAAAACACCUUAGUUGAAGAAAGACACUGUAGUGCAACAGGUCUACUUACUAUAUGAAGCAUGAACCACAGAACGGUGAAACAGAACAACGGAAGAGUAGGGCUCUUCUGCAUUAUAGACCUCAAUACAUGCUCUUCUGCAUUAUAGUGAACAGCAUCCUCAACAGUGCAUGCUCUACUGCAUUAUAUACCUCAAAAUGUGAUCACCACCACCAUCGGAUGAAAGAUUCAAUAAUUAAGACCCAAUUAGAUCCAUGGUUGUGCAUAAAUUAUACACUAGAUAGAUGUUUAAGUUCAUUAAGCAGCACGAACAGGUUCUAGUCUAAUCGUCGGCCUCGGUCUUGGACUUCUUUUUUUUCUUCUUCCCUUCUGUGGCUGUCUUAGGCUCAACAGACUCUGCAGCAUCACGGUUCUUCUUUUUCUUUUUCUUGGGAGUCUCAUCUUGUUCGGCAUCACCAUUGGCUGCGAUCUCUUGAUCCUGGGGCUCCUCUAGCUUGUGCUUCUUUUUCUUUUUCUUCUUCCCUGUCUCAGGUUCAGCUUCUGCUGCGGCUGUGUUGGCAGGCUUAUCAAGAUCCAUGGCGUCACCAUCAGCCUCGGAUUUGGACUUCUUUUUCUUACUUUUCUUGGCAGAUGUGCCACCGUUCUCCUUAUCUGCGAAAGAAAUGUUCGGAUGAAGGUGUAAAUGACUUGAAAUUAAGUGACUGAGAGAUCUACGUAUAAAGAGAAAUGUCCUUACCCUCCUCUGAGACUGCGUCGGCCAUACCCUCAAUUGCAGCUUUCAUCACAUCAAGGUUCUUGCGUGGUGCAACACCCUUGUCAUAAAAGUCUAAUCUCUCCUCAACUUGUUCACGCAACUUCUCACCAAAAAUGGAGCUACUCAUAUCUGGAAUUCAUAACCUAGUAAGGAAAACAAACAGAAAAGGUAGUCGAGAUGUUUUAACCUUUGCGAACAGUCCUUCAACUGACCUGAAUAACAGUCAAUACGUGAAGCAAUUGAGCAUUUGUUUGCCAGGUAUCUAGCCAUUCUUCCCUUGUUCUUCGUCGAUGCACGACCAAUAAAAGAUGAAUGGAAUAUGAGGCCAUACUUCGGUGUGUUUCCUCGUGUUUUAAGAGCUCUGCAGUAAAAUUAGCAAAUCAAUCACAACAUUUCAGAAGCAUGGAGGAGAAAGUCUGAAUACGUGACAAAACAUUUGAGUACAAGUGCAACUACAAAUAAGAAAGCACAGCUUGGAAAUAGUGUGGGAAUACAUAAGCAGUCCAGUCAGACAAAAUAACCUGAAGAGUGCCUUCUCAGCACCUAGUAUCUGGAGAGUGGAGGCAGGGCAUUUUGCAAGAUUUGAAAGACUGCCAGCAUGAGAGAUUAACCGAGCUCCAACCAUUUCACCAAUCAAUGACGUCAGAUUUGGUGCAAUAUCGUUCAUCUUUGUCACCAGAUAUUCAUAGAGAUUUUUACGGUACUCAGAUAGAUUCAUGACCCUUUGAGCAAACUGUUGGACAUUGAUCAAAUCAACUGGUGAAAGGUCCUGGCCUGAAAAUAAAAAGAAGAUUACGUAAACUAAGCAACCGUGGCAACUAAUGAGAAGCAUACCAAUUGUGGACAUGGUUGUUACCCAUAGAUGCCUUUGCUGCUUCAACAAUUUCUUUUGCCUUGUCCUCAUCUCCAAUCAGAUCUGCUAAAGCUGGAACGUCUUUCUCUGACAAAUCAGAUUUGUUUACUACAAACUUGGCAAGCUUAGCAUACAGGUAGUUGUCAUUCACGAUUUUGACCAGCUCAGGAAAAUGCCAUCCAUACCACUCCCUGCAUCAUGGUUAAGCAACAAUUAAUACACCCAUGCAAUUAACACAAUUACAGUGACAAAUGUUCAAAACUACUUACAGCGUCAACAGGGGUAAAAAGAAAAAAAAAAUAUAAUUACACCCACCGAAAGCAUACAGUGUUCCCCCCCCCCCCCCCAAAAAAAAGCAUACAUUGUAGAAUAUACUGCACAGUUGAUAAGUUAAAAUGAUCAUUCAGUACUAUGGGAUAUAUCUAUAUCUAUACUACUACAUAGUGUACGAGUUUUGAAUUGUAACUAGAGCAUCAAUCCUAGCCAUUGGUCUCCAUUAUCUAACGGUUGAGGCUUGAAGGAUUCGCAGUGAAUAGUAGCACGCAUCUACUUCUGCUGGGUUCUGGAACCAUCGCUUCACAACUCCUGCCUGCUCUGUCAUUUUGCAUUGUCAGGCUGAGACCUAAAUACCAGAGUCCACAGACGCAUGUCUGGUCUAGGAGGAGGAAGGAAAAAACAUAAGUAAACAAUUUAUGGGUCCAUCACAUACAUCUGCCUUUUUUUUCUGGAAAUUUCUGGGUGCCACUAGGCCAGGGGAGUUGCAUCAUAUACCAAGUUUCUACUACAUAAUUUAUGCAUGCGUACAUUUCAUUGUAAAGUGUUGUAUAUCCAUUUUUUUCUUUUACAAAAAUCAUAAAGAUAAUAUUGUUAAGACGUGCAUUGCACGUGCAUACAUACUAGUACUGUAAGAUAGUACAGUGUACACAGAACAUGUCACUGUAAGCCAGACAGUACCGUGACUGGACAUGCAACUAAAAUAAACACAUGAGAUGUAUUUGAUCAUGUGAAUUGAGGAAAUUUGUCAAGACUUCAACACAAUACGCAAUUGAACGCACAUGGUAAAACUAGAGACUUGGGCUUAGGGUAAAUAUAGCAUAUAGACAAAAUAUGUUUGAUGCCACUGAUGCAAUAUAUAUAUAUAUAUAUAUAUAUAUAUAUAUAUAUAUAUAUAUGGUUACAAAAGAAGAGGUCAUACAAACGAAAUUAAUCAAAUUCCUGCUGUUUUUUUAACUCCUGCGAUCAGAAAAUGUGGCAUAGGCAGUAUAUACCGACAGCUAAACUGGAAAAGUAAUGAACAAAUGUCAACUCUAGUACCUAUAUCUAGAACUUUCUCAGGAAUUCUAUGUCGCCAUCAACUUUUCUUUUUGAGAUAAUCCAAGUCUCGUCGCGCGACAGCCAAACCAAAGAACCAGAUACUGGUUAAAUUAAGCAAAUUAAGAAUAAGACGAGGAACCAACCUCACUCUCAUGGAGAAGGAAUUGACAUCCUUAUCAAGUGUAUCCAAUAGAAAGAUCGCUUGAAUCACCAUGUUAUCCACACGAUUCACAUUGAACUUGACCUUUGCCCUGCUAUAGCUAUGCCCCAGACCUAACUGAGCCUUCUCCAGGUCAGAUGGCUGCAAUCAAAAAGAAAUGGAACAAAGUUUACAAACAAGUAUAUAUGAAAUAAGAACAGUGAUGGAAUAAAACCCUUGAAGAACGAUCAACAUGUCAACAACCAAUUUGUGAAACUCCAGGCAAUUCACUGUAUGAUCUAGGUAAACUUAACUAGUAAAAAUGAUGUGUCAAGCAUAAGGUAGUAAUUGUCCAACUCUCUGCACAUAGUUCAUACCACCAAAACAUUAAACUUUUUCCACUGCUGCACAAUCCUCUAAAAUCAAAUAAACCAGCCACAACCCCAGUCAGACCACAAUGUGAUUUAUCCUAAUAAUGCAGCCUACAGCUUUACGACCCAUGUUGAACAGUUCCAUCUUUUACGGAACAAUGUAAAACUUCAAUACUAGACGCAAAUGCAAAAUUCCAUCACCUUGAGUUGUUCAACGAACUGAUCGAAGUGCAGCCGCACCGCACGAAGCAGUUCCUGGAUAUAGUCGUUUGACUCGCAAGGGAUUCCGGUGGCCUCGGUGAUGUGGGACCCGACCUUGGGCUCCAUGACGCCGACCCUGAACUUGGCUUUCUUCCCCUCCUUCACCUUGGGCAGGUUGAGCUCCAGGAAGUUCCUCAGCUCGUCCGUCAUGAUCCCUGAGUCACCACACGCCAUUCGCUUGCCACGGGAGUCAUAAACCAGGGAGACUUGACACGAGCAUUCCAUCGGGAGAGGAGGCGGGGGACACGAUACCUUCGGAGAUGGCGUUGCACUGGUUGAGGGCGUCGACGGCGGAGAGGAAGGGGGGUGAAGCCGGCGAGCUUGACAGCCUUGCUGAACCGCUUGAGGUCCAGCACGGUGGAGCGGACGGCGUCCACGCUCUGCCCGAUCUCGUCGAUGCCGUAGGCGUGGAAUAGCGCGUAUCCCGACGCCGACUCGAAGAGCAGGUAGAGCGCCAUCUCGCCCGCGCGCUUCGCCGGCGGCGGCCGAGGGGUUUAGGGGCGGAGGCUGGGAAGAGGCUAGGCUAGGGUUUAGGAGUGGGCUUCGCCGGGGCCUUAGAGCAACUCUAUCAAACCCCGCAUCCCUCCCCAACCCGCAAAAUAACCGCCAAAGUGCGGGUCGGAACCGAAAAACCUGCCCGAUCACACUCCGCAUCCCGUCCCGGCCCACAAAUAUAUUUGCGGGGCGCGACAAAACUUCUCCCCCAACCUCUAGUUUCACUGGCCGGGAGGCCGACCCAAGCUCAGCCUCUAUCCGCAGCAAGAUUUGAUGGGAGGGACAUUUCCGCGCGGCCUCCCCCCCCCCCCCCCGCACCCGCCACCACCAUUGCCUCGCCACCGCACGCUCCGGUGCAUCCUCCGCGGUCGUCCCUCGCCGCCAUGGACGCCUCCUUGCUGCCCCCCGUCACCUUUGAGAUCGCGCACGCUCCUUCCCCUCGGGCGGAUCUCGACGCCGGCCAUGUUGGGCCCGCCGUCGCUCAAGCUAGCGCCGCGCCUGCCCGCAAGCGGCAGGGCAACGUGGUCGUGCCGGGCGGAAAUCCGACAGCCCCCGCCGCGAAGGCUCGCGCUCCGGGGCGCUAACGCUGUUGUGCGAUCUCGGCCGGCGGCGGAGAAGGUCACCAAGGCCGCGGGCGUCAAGAGGAAGAGGAUUCAGGCUCCUUCAUCCUCUCACUCCAUCCCGGAAAGAGAUGCUCCGGUGAUGCCAUCCAACGGUGUCGCUCCCCCCGCAAGCGAGGUGUUCGACGAAAUGGUUGGAAGGUGUGUGUCUUCGGUCAUGGUCAUUUCCUUUUGUUUUCGCCAUUUGUUGCGAUAGCUUCUGACUUGUCAAUCGUUCAAUAUAGCCAAAGAUCGAAGAACUACACGAUCUUGGAAGAUCAAGCUUUGAUCCAAGCAUGGAGUGCGGUGUCUCCUGAUGUAUGCACGGAUACUUCUCAAACCGCCAAGAGAUAUUGGCAAAGGAUCGAAGAUCAAUACUUCCGCGUUAUGGCAAAGUAUCUCAAUAGGACUCCACGCACAUUUCGAUCACUUGAAGGGCGUUGGGAGAAUAUCAAGCCUAUGUGCAGCCGUUGGGCAGCUUGCUUGGAGCAAGUACGCAAUGUUCAAGUUGUGCGUAAUCAUAUUUGCAUCAUGAGAAUUGAUUACAUCACUUUGUUCACAUUGUGUAGGACAAGAUUGCCCAACAUAGAUACAAAGACAUGGAAGCUUCUGAAGGCAAAUUCUUCAAACUAGAGCAUUGUUGGGAGUUGCUCCAAAAGUGCGAGAAGUGGAAGUUGAUUGACAAAGAAUCUUUGUUGCUCGCCGGACAGAACAAGAUCAUGUCAAUGAACCGCGAUGACAUGGACGACCUCACCAAAACAUGGCAUGAUAUGGCAAGGAGAGAGAUCUUGAAGAGAAGAAUGGUCUUCUCUGCUCCAUAUGGUGGCAAUGCCGAUGAACUUCAAGAUGGACUCGAUGGCGCGGAGUGAAGAUCGACCAAGAUGAUGCAAGACCCUCUUUUGCGUUUAUCGUACUGAACUUGACUUCUAUUUGCGCGUAAAACUGUGUUAUGUUUGUUUGAAUUUGAACUUAUUUGUGAGAACUUAUGUCAAAUGCGAGAAUUGAGCGUUUUCUGCUUUCGGGGCGACGCGGCCGUGUUCGAACAGACCCCGCAAAAGCCGACCCGUAUAAAAGCAUAUUCGGUGAAUAUACUUUUAUACGGGUCCGUUUGGGGGGUCUGCAUCCAUGCCAGCCCGCGUCGACCCGCAAAAGGGGUUUUACGCGAACUGCAAACGCGUUUUGCGGGCCGGCAUUAUGCGGGAUCUGCUAGAGUUGCUCUUAGAGCUAGCACCCUCAAACCCUUAAAUCCUUAAAAAUAACUGUUUUUUACAGUUUACGAGUAAAAGCCGUGUAGACUAGAACCCCUUAACCCUCAAAAAAAAUUAAGGAUCCGACCUUCAAAUCCUCUUCCAACCUGUACAAGUGAGGAUUGGGGAGCAAAACCUAACCCUCACUUGCGAGCCAUCCGAGCGCGGGAGGGAAAUUUCCCGUCCCCAACUCCCGCCCGCACCCACCCGAGCCGUCGUCGCCGUCCCGUCCCCCGGCCCCCUCCCCUCCACCUCCCCAGCCACCACCGCCAUCCCGCCCUCCGGCCACCUCUCCUCCCGUCCGAGCCCGCCCUGCCCCGCCCACCAGCCGCCGCCCGUAGGAGGCCGGCUGCCGCGCCCGCCCCACGCCUCCCCUCGACCUCCCCGGUCGCCGCCCGCCCUCCGCCCCGCAGCAGGCCGGCCGCCUCUCAUCCACCUCCUCCCGCCCGCGCUCGCCCCGCCCCGCCCCCCAGCCGCCGCCCGCCCCCCCUGGUCGCCCUCCGCCUCCCGCCUUCUGCCCUCCGCCUUCCGCCCUCGCGCCGCCCCGAGCUUUCCUCGCCGACCCGCAGGUAUGCAUUUUUUUUCUUUUUUGUUAAUUUUUUCCUUUUGAUUCAUUGUUGGCACUCACAAUUUUUUGUUUUGUGUUGUGUAGAUGGAGGCGUUGUCCGAUGAUUUUGGUUGGUCGUCAUCGGACGAUUCGGACAUUGAGGACUUGCUUCAAGAUGAUGACGUCGAGAUGAUGGGCCUCCUCCUCGACGUGCAAGAGUUUGAAGAUUGCGCGAAGCUGAUGGAUCAGAGGAGAGGGUCGAAGAUGGGGCGAGUCACCAUCUACCGGAACUGCGGUCUCAGACACGAGCAUUUGAUGCAAGACUACUUUGCGGAGGUACCAACAUACCCACCUCGCCUGUUCCGGAGAAGGUAUCGAAUGCGCCGUAGUUUGUUUGUGAAGAUUGUCACCGAUUGUGAGGCCGCCUCAGAUUACUUCAAGCGUCGUAGAUCCACCGCCGGUAUCAUGGGGUUUAGUGGGUACCAAAAGAUAUCGGCUACAAAGUGGGUGCUCGCCUAUGGCAUACCCGCGGACUAUACCGACGAGUAUCUUCGCAUUGGACAAGAUACAACCACGGCGUCCGUUCAUAGGUUUGCAAAAUUGGUCAUCCGGUUGUAUGGUGAUGAGUAUCUUCGGGCACCCAACGAGGAAGAUACAAAGAGAUUGAUGGAGAUGAAUGAAAAAAGGGGAUGGCCGGGGAUGCUUGGUAGUCUUGAUUGCAUGCAUUGGACAUGGAAAAAUUGUCCAAAGGCAUGGCAAGGAAUGUAUUGUGGUAAAAGUCGUGAUGCUACCAUUGUGCUUGAGGUCGUGGCAUCGGAGGACACAUGGAUUUGGCAUGCAUUUUUUGGUUUGCCGGGAACACUCAAUGAUAUCAAUGUGCUCAAUAGAUCUCCUUUGUUCAAAAGAUUAGUUUGUGGGGAUGCUCCAACUUGCAACUACAAAAUCAUGGGCAAUGAGUACUCAAUGUGAUACUAUCUCACCGAUGGAAUUUACCCCGAUUGGGCAACUCUUGCGAAGUCCAUCAAGGAGAAAAAUGGGGUGCCCUUAAGCAGAAAAGAGGCUCAUGUCACCAAGGCACAAGAGAAUACCAUCCUAUCAUACUACAUCAUAGUCAUCUCAAAAUCUAUGUUGACAAUCAAGACAAACCAUUAUAAGCUCUCAGCUAGUUAAGCAUGGCAUCAGAAACUAUUAUCUCUAAGUUGUCAUCAUAAACAUGGUUCUCUCACAACAAAGCUAAAUCUGGGUCGACAAGCUAGUCAUAUUUACAAAAACAAAAUAGAUAGAGUUCAUACCAGCUUUUCAGUCUCAGUCACUUCAUCAUAUAUCAUCAUUCUUGCCUUUCAUUUGCACGAUCGAACGAUGUGAACAAUAAUAAGCGCAUUGGACUAAGCUGAAUCUGCAGGCAAACACAAAAGAGAAGACAAAGUAAUAUGGCUCUUUGAAAGCUAAACAGGUAAGCAUGCAAGAAUCAAUAAACAUUAUAACCAAUAUCUUCUACCUUGACCCAAAGAAAAAGAAAACUAUUUACACGGGAAAACUCCCAACAAGCAAAAGAAGAAAGAAAAAACUUUUUGGGUUUUCUCAAAAGGACACAAAACAAGAAAACAAAAAUAAACUAGCAUGGAUAAUACAGUGGCAAAGCGUAAACAUCGGCUAACAAAGUUAAAGCAUAAGCAUGAAUGUAAAGUCGGUGAGAACACGUACUCCCCCAAGCUUAGGCUUUUGGCCUAGCUUGGUCUACUCCCAUGGUGGGAAAUCACCAGCUCCAGGAUACUCUGGAGCAGACUGUGGAUGCACUGCUAUGUGAGCUCCUCUGGCUUCCACUGAUAAAUUGGCGUCUGGUACUCGACUGGCGGCUCGGGCACGGGCGCGUGUGGUUGGGCCAAGCCCCAAUAUGCGUAGAUGUCCGAGAGCAUAAUAGUGUACCUGCCUGCAUGAAGAUCGAACAAAGAAGGAGCAGGCAAAUUAAUGGUCUCUCGAGUACCCUGACUAAAUACCAGGUUAUAAAUCAUCCGUCUGCUAGCAUCUCUAUCCAGAAAAUCAUGGCGAACCAUGUUGUCAUAAUCCAGAUAUUUCUCAGGGAGAAGCAUCUCUCCUUCCUCUCCCAGUCUAAUGGGUAUCUCAAAGUGUCUGGCAAGACGGGUAGCAUAGAUACCUCCAUAGACAACACCUUUAGAAUGGUUCAGGUUCAACUGUUGAGCUACUAUAGCACCCAAGCUAUAAGUAUUAUCGUUAUAUAGGCCUUCGUGCAAAACCGCAAGGUCUGGAGAACUAAGUGAUCCAGCCUCCCCACGGCCAAUCAAACAUUUUCCCACAAAUAGUGAGAAGUACUGAAGCACAGGAAAAUGUAUGCUAGCAAUUCUAGCACGAGACACUCCUCUCUCCUCUCCAACAGCAGUAGAACCAAUGAAAUCCUCCAAGUCCCGUGGACGAGGGUCACGGAUAUCCCCAACAUAAGGUAAUUUGCAUACAUUGCAAAAAUCCUGCAGCGUCAUGCACUGGGGGACAUCGUAUAUCAUGAACUCAACAAUGUGAGGAUUCUUCCUCGGAUAAAAGUUGAAGCUUUGAGCGAAAAUAUUGGUGAGGAGGAGGUAUUGUGAGCACUUAUCUUCAACGAACACAGUAAGACCUACGUUCUCCACCAAGUAAUAAAAGUCUUCAUAAAGUCCGGCGACGCGCAAAAAUUCAUCACUUGGCCACUCGCACGCUCGAACUUCUAUGACUCGAGGGACUACGUACUUGGGGUGGUUCUUCUCAUCCUCCUUGGGGUUACGGCUUAAAGAGCCUCUCAAGAACCUCCUCAUCUUUUCCUUUUUCUAGCUCUAAAUUUUUUUGAAAUUUUUAGAGACUUCGAAAGAAAAGUGAAUAAAGAUUAAUCCAACUUGUAGAAACUACUCCUACUAGUGCCUAGAGACCGUAUCACAUGCUAAAACUACUUGGGACCAGCUAAAAUCAACAUUUCUAGCUCAAGAACAGGGUCACCAAGGUAGCAAUAAUACACGAAGGAUAAAGCACUAGAGCAAAAACUAAUUGGAGCAAUGGAGGAGUCACUUACCAAGGAGUAAUUUCUGCAAAAUAGUUCAGAGAAUGGUGCUUUGAGCAAGGAGAUCGAAAAUCACAGCCAAAUGAGCAAGAACACGAGUUUGAGUUGCGAAACAAUUUUUUCUGGAGGUGGAAGAAGAGGCUGAGAGCUGGAAUGAGUGGAGGGGGUGCUUGUGGGCCCCACAAGCUUGCACUCCGCCACCAGGGGGUACGUGGCGGUGGCAGGGCUUGUGGCCCACUGGUCUGGCCCCCAGGCCCAGAAAUUUUCAAAAAUUCCAGAAAAAAUCAUACUAAAUUUUCAAGACCAUCGGAGAACUUUUAUUUUCGAGGUAUUUUUCUCCGGGACGCUAAGACAGAAAACAGGAAAAACUAAACUAAUUCUAUCAUUUUUCUUCGAAGCAAAAGAAAAUGAAAGCUUAAAACAGAGGUAUGUGACUCUUUGAUUCAUCCGUUUCAUGGUCAUCGGAAGAAAUCCGUCGAUGGGAUUGAUCAAGUCCUCAUGACAAAACCUUCUCGAAUCUCAAGAGAGAACGGAGAAUUUUCGAAUAGCCACUAAGUCACCUCAAUGGGGAUAUGUAUCUCCCCAACUAGCAAAUAAUACUUCAUCUUGACACGAGGAAUAGGGCAUUCAAAGCUCCCAAUGAGAAUCGAUGAAGUCUUUUCGAUAGCAUUGAUGCAACGUACUUGAUAUCGUUUCUUCAGAAAGUGCACGGUGUGCUCAUUACCGUUAACAUGGAAAGUGACAUUGCCUUUGUUGCAAUCUAUAACAGCCCCUGCCAUGUUUAAAAAGGGUCUUCCGAGGAUGACGGCCAUGGCAUCGUCCUCGGGAAUAUCCAAGAUAACAAAGUCUGUUAAGAUAGUGGUGUUAGCAACCACAACACGCACAUCCUCGCAAAUGCCGAUAGGGAAAGCAGUUGAUUUGUCGGCCAUUUGCAGAGAAAUUUCAGUGGGUGUCAACUUAUCCAAUUCAAGUCUACGAUAAAGAGAGAGCGGCAUAACACUAACACCGGCUCCAAGGUCACAUAAGGCAGUUCUUACGUAGUUUCCUUUAAUGGAUCAAGGUAUAGUGGGCACUCCGGGAUCACAAAGUUUCUUAGGAGUUCCACCUUUGAAAGUGUAAUUGGCAAGCAUGGUGGAGAUCUCAAGAUCUGGUAUCUUCUGUUUAUUAGUCACGAUAUCUUUCAUGUACUUGGCAUAUGGAGACAUCUUGAGCAUAUCAGUUAACCGCAUCUGUAGAAAGAUGGGUCUUAUCAUCUCAACGAAGCGCUCAAAAUCCUCAUCAUCCUUUUUCUUGGAUGGUUUAGGAGGAAAGGGCAUAGGUAUCUGAACCCAUGGCUCUCUUUCUUUACCAUGCUUCCUAGCAGUGAAGUCAUCCUUAUCGUAUUUCUUAGGUUGUGGGUUAUCAUGAUUAACCGUAGGUUCAAUCUCCACAUCCUCAUCAUUGCUAGGUUGAGCAUUAUUAUGAACAUCACUGUCCAUAUUGCCACCAGGUUCAUGUUCAUCACCAGAUUGUGUUUCUGCAUCAGACGCAGAAAUAUCAUUAGGUUCUUCCGGUGUGAAAGUAUUUGGUGAACUGGCAUGUAGGUUUCUAUCAUCCUUCUUCUUAUCCUUAGGAUGACUGGGUGUAUCAGCAUUGAUUCCUUGAGGAUCUUGAUCAAUUCUCUUAGGAUGACCUUCAGGAUACAAAGGUUCCUGAGUCAUUUUGCCUCCUCUAGUAAUGACUCUGACAGAGUUGUCAUUUAAUUCAUUGAGCAAGUCAUUCUGAGCUUUAAGUACUUGUUCUACCUGAGUAGUAAUCAUAGAGGCAUGUUUACUCACAAGCUUCAGAUCAUUGACAUUUCUGUCUACACAAGCACUUAAAUGGCUAAGCAUACGAGUACUUUGUUCCAAAUGUCUGCUAACAUAAUCAUUGAAACUCUGUUGUUUGGCAACAAAGUUGUCAAAUUCAUCAAAGCAUAGGCUAGCAGGUUUGUCAAAAGGAAUAUCACUCUCAUCAAACCUACGCAGAGAAUUCACUUCUACUACCUGUAUCGGGUUAUCGAUACCAUGGAUCUCUUCGAUAGGUGGUAGAUUUUUGACAUCUUCAGAUCUAAUGCCUUUCUCUUGCAUAGAUUUCUUGGCUUCUUGCAUAUCUUCGGGACUGAGGAAUAGAAUACCUCUUUUCUUAGGAGUUGGCUUAGGAGGUGGUUCGGGAAUAGUCCAAGCAUUAUCGUUGAUCAAGAUGUUAUUCAGUAGAGUCUCAGCUUGUUCUACAGUUCGUUCCCUAAAAACACAACCAGCACAACUAUCUAGGUGGUCUCUAGAGGCAUCGGUAAGUCCGUUAUAGAGGAUAUCAAGUAUCUCGUUCUUCUUAAGAGGGUGAUCAGGAAAGCAUUUUGUAGCUGGACGAGCCUCCCCCAAGCUUGUGGAAGACUCUCUUCUUGGAGUUGAGCAAAGUUGUAUAUUUCCUGCAAGGGAGCUUGCUUCUUAUGGACAGGGAAAUAUUUCUCACAGAAGUAAUAGACCAUAUCCUGUGGACUACUCACACAUCCAGGAGCAAGAGAGGUGAACCAGGCUUUAGCAUCAUCCUUUAGAGAGAAAGGAAACAACUUCAGGAUAUAGUAGUGGCGGAUCUUCUCCUCAUUAGUGAAAAGGGUGGCUAUAUUGUGUAGUUUGGCAAGAUGGGCUACGACCGUCUCAGACUCAUAACCCUGAAAAGGAUCAGAUUCGACUAGAGAGAUUAUCUCAGAAUCGACAGAGAAUUCAUAAUCCUUAUCGGUGAUAAAGAUAGGUGAAGUGGCAAACUUCGGGUCGUAUUUCAUCCUAACUUUCAGAGAUUUUUCCUUCCACUUGAGAAGUAAUUUCUCAGCGUCAUAAGUGCGGAGCUAGAUGGCAGUUCCUUACCUCCCCUCGUAGUUGAGGGCAAGACUUUGGUUUUUGGAUCCUUCACAUUCUUCAUAGUGAUCAACAGAUAUAAAUCCCAAGUAACUCAGAGAAUAUAGCGAUACCUCCCCGGCAACGGUGCCAGAAAAAUGAUGACUCCGUAACAGCAGACCUUCCCUUGCAACGGCACCAAAAGAAUGCUGCUACCACUCUCCGGCAAUCAAAACUAGAAGAAUGUUGUUGACGGCCCACCAGCGCGUGGGAUCGUAGCAGUUUUUGAGGGUAGAGUAUUCGACCCAAAUUUGUUGGUACGCCUAUAGGAGGUGAGAGGAUACUCUCAAGUAUUAGCAGCUGAAUAUGUCAGAUUCAACCACACCUGAAAGAUUAGUAUCUGCAAAUAAAGUAGUAACAACAAAGUAGCGAGUAACGACAGUGGCAAGGAACAACGGUAGUGACAAUAGUAGCAAGUAGCAAUAGUAGCAAGCGAUAGUAGUAGCAACAGUAGCAGUAGAGCAAGACAAGUAACAACAGCAGUAGGACAAACUCGUAGGCAAUGGGUCGGUGAUUUGUUUGGAUGAUAUUCAUCAUGCAACAGUUAUAACACGGAGAGAUAUGUGGCUAGCUCCCGUUCGUCAAUGUGAUGUAGGCAUGCAUUCCGUGUGUCGUCAUACAUGCUUAGGGAAAAGAACUUGCAUGACACCUAUUGUCCAUCCCUCCCGUGGCAGCGGGGUCCAAAAGGAAACUACGGGAUAUUAAGGUUCUCCUUUUAAUAAAGAACCGGACCAACGCAUUAGCACUUGGUGAACACAUGAACUCCUCAAACUAUGGUCAUCACCGGGAGUGGUUCCGGUUAUUGUCACUCCGGGGUUGCCGGAUCAUAACACACAGUAGGUAACUACAACUUGUAAGAUCAGAUCUAAAACACACAUAUAUUGGUGACAACAUAAUAAUUUCAGAUCUGAAAUCAUGGCACUCGGGCCAUAGUGACAAGCAUUAAGCAUGGCAAAGUAGUAGCAACAUCAAUCUCAGAACAUAGUGGAUACUAGGGAUCAAGCCCCAUCAAAACUAACUCGAUUACAUGAUAGAUCUCAUCCUACUCAUCACCGCCCAGCGAGCCUACGAAUAGAUUACUCACGAACGACGAAGAGCUUCAUGGAAUUGGAGAAGGAAGAAGGUUGAUGAUGACGAUGGCGACGGUUUCCCCUCUCUGGAGCCCAAAACGGACUCCAGAUCUGCCCUCCAGAUGAAGAACACGAUGUGGCGGCGCCUCCGUAUCGUAAACGCGAUGAAAUCUUCUCUUUUGAUUUUUUCUGGGACGAAAGUGAACUUAUAGAUCUGAGAUUGGGGGUGGCAGAGCCGUGUUGGCCCCACAAGCUUGCCCACCGCCACCAGGGGGGUGGUGGCGGUGGCAGGGCUUGUGGCCCACUGGCCCACCCCCUCAGGUGGAUCUAAGCGCAUGUAUUUUUCAUAUUUUCCAAAAAUGUUCCCCGUAAAUUUUCAGGACGUUUGGAGAACUUUGAUUUCUGCACAAAAAUAACACCAAGGUAAUUCUGCUGAAAACAGCGUCAGUCCAGGUUAGUUCCAUUCAAAUCAUGCAAAUUAGAGUCCAAAACAAGGGCAAAAGAGUUUGGAAAAGUAGAUACGAUGGAGAUGUAUCAACCAACUCCAUCCCGCGGCCCAGCGCAGCGCCCCUUCGGCCCACCUCGCACCCCUAGCCGAGCCGGCCCAGCUCCGCCCCCCUCCAGAUUAGGCCCAAAAGGCCCAAGGUGAGCCUCCAGUUGCCCCUCUCCCUCGCCCUAGGCGCAUUUUACUAUCCCGCGCCAUACUGUGAUUUCACCCAUUGUAGUUUCGACCCACUGUAUUUUUUUUAGCACCGACGAUUUUAUUUAGUUUCAGAAAAAGCAUUGAUUUUCAAACGCCCAUAAAACUUUAACCCUGAGUCGGAUCGCAACAAGUUAUAUAUGUAACUUCGCUAGAAUUUUGCGUAGAUUAAUAAUUUCCAUCUCUCAUGCAUGUUUAAGGCUGUUAGCUGUGCUGUUUGCAUCGGUUUACAUGUUGACGUGAUUGAAACGGUUUAUGUCGUAAUUAAUUAACCGUAGCUCCGUUGGAGAUGAGCUAUAUAUGUAAAUGGACUAGAACAACAUGUAGUUUCACGUGAACCAAUUUGCUUUGCUCUUUAACAAACAUAAAAUGUGAUUAGGACAAUUCUGGACAUAUUUAGAAUUUAACGAGUGGGGUCAGUUCGGAGACGCUAUAUGUCGUUUCCGACCUCAUUUAAAAUGCCUAGAUAGGUAGUUUAAUUUGUGUUUCACCUCCUGCCAUGUUUAACAACAUUUUAAUAUUUCCAUGUUAAUAAAUGGAAGUGAACUAAAUAAUUAAAUGUGGAGUUCCGUCAAUAUGCAACUCGUUGCAUAUUGAGCUUCACUUAAUGUGUAGUGUUUGCGUGAUGUGAACUGCCAUGCCUUGCAUAUUCGAAACUGAUCAUCCAUCAUUUGUGUUGUGCAUCAAAUCGUGCAUGUGCCGUGGUGUAUAUUGCGUGUUGAUUCUGUUUCUGGUUUGCUUCGUCUCGAUAGAGUUCCGCAAGCGUGUCGGAAUGUGAGGAACCGUUCGACUACGUCGAUUCAUCUGCUUCACGGAGUCGUUCUUCUUCCAAGCAGGAUCUUAGGCAAGAUGAUCAUUUCCCUAGAUACCAUUACUAUCAUUGCCAUGCUAGUUGUAUCGUUUCUUUCAUUAUGUCUCGAUGUCUACUACCUGUUUAAUAUGCCUCCCAACAUUGCCAUGAAAACCUUCAACCUGUCCACAACCUAGCAAACAACUGAUUGGCUAUGUUACCGCUUGCUUAACCACUAGAUAGCGUUGCUAGUUGCAGGUGCAGUUGCUUCCAUGUGAUAACAUGGGUUCCUUGUUAUAUCACCAUAUUAAAUUCUAUUUACUUUAAUGCACCUAUAUACUUGGUAAAAGCUGGAAGGCUCAACCUUUCUAGCCUGGUGUUUUGUUCCACCUUUGUCGCCUUAGUUUCGGCUACCGCUGUUAUAUUCCAUAAAUGAGAACUCCUAGCAUGCUUGGGGUUGUUAUGGGGACCCUCUAGAUUCUCGUUUUGGAAUAAAGCUCGUCUGACAAGGCCCAACAUUUAUACUAUAUUUGCCCAACAUAAUAAUUCUGUUAAUACUGAAAAACAUAGGGCGUCAUGAACCCGAGGAGUAAUUCAGCAUAAUACAGGGAGGGCCAGUGCUGAUGGUGCUGGUCCAAAACAGAGCAUCGUGCGGGCCAACCCAGGGCAACUCGGGUGAUGUAUAUCAGGUCAUCGUAUGCUUCUCUUGUCCGUCGUGUCCUGAGAACGAGAUAUGCGGCUCCUAUCGGGAUUGUCGACAUGCCGGGUGGCCUUGCUGGACUUGUUUUACCUUUCUUAAGCGUCCUGUGCGAGGGAUUCCGAUGAUGCUUUCGGUUAUCUGGAGGUUGAGGUUUUCCAAUAGGAACCCAAGGAGAUCACGGGUUUCCUUGAUCGAGGUCAUUCUGUCGCAGCGUGUGGUAGUUUGUGAUUGACUAGGUGGAGCACCCCUGCAGGGUUAAAUAUUUCCAAAAGUCAUGCCCGCGGUUAUGUGGCAACGUGGAAACUUUGUUUAACAUUCGUUCUAGAUAACUUGAAGUAAACUUAAUUAAAAACUUGCCAACUGAGUGCGUAACCGUGAUUGUCUCUUUAGUGAGCUCCUUCUCCGAUCGAGGACAAGGUGGGGUUAAGUCUGACGUAAGUAGGUGUUCAGGAUCAUUCAUUUGAUCAUCAGUAGCUCACGUCCGCUAUGCGUAGUUCAUCCCCCUCUUUCUUUAUUGUACUCGUAAGUUACCACCUGAAAUAAAUGCUUAGUCGUUUGCUGCAGCCUCACCACUUAACCAUACCUCACCCAUUAAGCUUGCAUGCNNNNNNNNNNNNNNNNNNNNNNNNNNNNNNNNNNNNNNNNNNNNNNNNNNNNNNNNNNNNNNNNNNNNNNNNNNNNNNNNNNNNNNNNNNNNNNNNNNNNCCAUCAUCGUGUCUCCGUGAAGUCGUCACGCCAACUACUACUAUCACUACUACUAUAGCUAACCGUUAGCAAUGAAGUAAAAGUAGUAAGCACAUGGCGUUGCAUCUCAUACAAUAAAUUAAGAAAACUCCUAUGGCUCCUGUCGGUUGUCAUACUCAUCCACAUGCAAGUCGUGAAACCUAUUACAAUAACAUGAUCAUCUCAUACAUCAUACAUGCAACAUCACAACUUUGGCCAUAUCACAUCACAUGUCAAACCCUGCAAAAACAAGUUAGACGUCCUCUAAUUGUUGUUGAAUGUUUUACGUGGCUGAUUUGGGUUUCUAGCAAGAACGCCUUCUUACCUACGUGACAGCCACAACGAUGAUAUGACAAAGCUAUUUACCCUUCAUAAGGACCCUUUUCAUCAAAUCCAAUCCAACUAGAGUAGGAGAGACAGACACCCGCUAGCCACCUUUUAUGCACGGUGUGCAUGUCUGUCGGUGGAACCAGUCUCACGUAAGCGUACGUGUAAGGUCGGUCCGGGCCACUUCAUCCCAAUACCGCCGGAAAAUAAUAAGACUAGUAGCGGAAAGAAAAUUGACAAGUCAUCGCCCACAACUUUUGUGUUCUACUCGUGCAUAGAGUGGCUCACUUCAUCCCAGUAAAGACUACAUACUCCACUCAGAAGCUAAUAAGGCUAUACCUCGCCCGUAUUGUGUGCUUACACGUGAUACCUAAGACUAUUGUACCUGAUAGAGGCACCCAAUUUACUUCAAGAUCUUGGGNNNNNNNNNNNNNNNNNNNNNNNNNNNNNNNNNNNNNNNNNNNNNNNNNNNNNNNNNNNNNNNNNNNNNNNNNNNNNNNNNNNNNNNNNNNNNNNNNNNNUUCGCGGCCAGCCCUCUCCUCGCUCCUAUCGACGUCGGCGACCAUCGUGUGCUUCUGGCGCUGGUGAAGCCUUCGAACCUGACAGGGGGACCCCCCUUGUCAGUGUCUCCCCCUCCUCUGAAACGUUUUCGAGGAAAACGUAUUCUCUCUGAAGUUGUUUUCCUUUCGGGGAAACGUCUUUCUAUUCGGGGGCUUUGACUUAUCUCAAGCUAGCCCCUCUUUCUAUUAUUCUUAUUAUUGAUUAGUCCCUGAAACUGUUUUAGCUAUAACUUUUGAUCCACAACUCCUUUUCGGUGAUUCUUUUUGCAAAAUGAUCCUUAUAAUGCCUAGUUUAUUUUAAGAUUUUUCUAAAGAUAUUUUGGAGCCAGUAGCUAGGCAGUGCCACUUACGUCAUUGUUUGCUUUAUACCGUAGAUUCCGACAGAGGGAAGGUGUGUCUCAUACUAGGUACCUCGACAUCACUCUGCUGGGACAGAGAUGACGCCAAACAACGAAAAGCACGUAUGCAAAGCUGGAGGGUGCAUGUAGUGGAUCGAAACCGAUGCCACCUACACUCACAAGAUCAACAGUUAGCGAUAAGAUAAAAAAUUAUAUGCAUGCUAUGCAGCAAUCAAGUGCAGCAAACCGACUAGACUUUAGACUAGCGAUUCUAAUGCUCGUGCGGGCUAGGGCGUCCUAUAGCCAGACCUUCUCUGAUACCAACGAUGUGGCACCUCGACUGAGAGAGAGAUCGAAACACCCCAUACUUCCAUCCCAGAGGUUAAGUCUUGUGGAAUACGNNNNNNNNNNNNNNNNNNNNNNNNNNNNNNNNNNNNNNNNNNNNNNNNNNNNNNNNNNNNNNNNNNNNNNNNNNNNNNNNNNNNNNNNNNNNNNNNNNNNCUCCAACGCCUCUGCAACCUCCGUGUGUCCUCCAUCGCUUGUGCAUGCCGCGAAAGCCAUCGCCAUGCACCGAGGUGCUCAGAGCGCAUUUUGUGCCGCCGCAGCGCAUAGCGAGAGCCGUGUCGUCGCCGCGAUCCCUCCGUAGAUGGCGAGCCUGUCUCUGGUCAAAAAUGAGACCCUCAUGAUAGUUAGGUACGACCUGCACCACCUAAUCGCCUGCCCUAGCCCCUGCUUCAUCGGAAUCGCUCGCCAGAGUAAAUGCCGAAGCUCCUCACACGUCGCCUAUAUAUAGAGCCUCUUCCCCGAGAUUCGGAGUUCAUCCCGCUCCUCUCCACACCCCUGCUUCACUCCACAACACUACCCGAUCGAGGAAGGAGUCCUCGAGGGGCCUUCUUCCCCAACUCCGUCCGCCCCGAUCGGCUUCGGGAUCCGGCCAUUCCUGAGCUGGGUAAGUCGUGGUAGGACCUCCAGAAGCUUCCAUUCGCACCCAGGAGCCCUUCUCCUCCUAACCCCUCGUCCAGUUAAUCUUAGGAACUUCUCUGUCGUCAAAUCCCCAUCUCACCGGAGCUGCCGUCCGCCGGAGUCUUGCUGCCGUCGACGUGGAGCUUCCCCCUCAGCCAAAACCACCUCCAACAGAAAGGUGGGUCGAAGGUAAGUGCAGCCGCACCCUCAGCCAGCCCUCUCCUCGCUCCUAUCGACCCACUGUAUUUUUUUUAGCACCGACGAUUUUAUUUAGUUUCAGAAAAAGCAUUGAUUUUCAAACGCCCAUAAAACUUUAACCCUGAGUCGGAUCGCAACAAGUUAUAUAUGUAACUUCGCUAGAAUUUUGCGUAGAUUAAUAAUUUCCAUCUCUCAUGCAUGUUUAAGGCUGUUAGCUGUGCUGUUUGCAUCGGUUUACAUGUUGACGUGAUUGAAACGGUUUAUGUCGUAAUUAUUAACCGUAGCUCCGUUGGNGAUGAGCUAUAUAUGUAAUGGUNNNNNNNNNNNNNNNNNNNNNNNNNNNNNNNNNNNNNNNNNNNNNNNNNNNNNNNNNNNNNNNNNNNNNNNNNNNNNNNNNNNNNNNNNNNNNNNNNNNNAACGAGUGGGGUCAGUUCGGAGACGCUAUAUGUCGUUUCCGACCUCAUUUAAAAUGCCUAGAUAGGUAGUUUAAUUUGUGUUUCACCUCCUGCCAUGUUUAACAACAUUUUAAUAUUUCCAUGUUAAUAAAUGGAAGUGAACUAAAUAAUUAAAUGUGGAGUUCCGUCAAUAUGCAACUCGUUGCAUAUUGAGCUUCACUUAAUGUGUAGUGUUUGCCUGCAGAUUCAGCUUAGUCCAAUGCGCUUAUUAUUGUUCACAUCGUUCGAUCGUGCAAAUGAAAGGCAAGAAUGAUGAUAUAUGAUGAAGUGACUGAGACUGAAAAGCUGGUAUGAACUCUAUCUAUUUUGUUUUUGUAAAUAUGACUAGCUUGUCGACCCAGAUUUAGCUUUGUUGUGAGAGAACCAUGUUUAUGAUGACAACUUAGAGAUCRAUAGUUUCUGAUGCCAUGCUUAACUAGCUGAGAGCUUAUAAUGGUUUGUCUUGAUUGUCAACAUUAGAUUUUGAGAUGACUAUGAUGUAGUAUGAUAGGAUCGGUAUUCCUCUUGUGCCUUGGUGACAUGAGCCUCUUUUCUUCUUCCUAGACACCAAACCCAAGUUAGCCAAAUGGAAUUUGUGCUGAUCUCCUAUAUUACCCCACAAAAAAUGGGCCAUCUGGGAAUUGAUGGCAUUGAUAGCCCAUUUAGGAAACUUCACAAUCGCCAUAAGGUAAGCAGGAAUGCUCACAAUACAAGCACAAAGUAAUAUAAUCUUGCCCUAAAANNNNNNNNNNNNNNNNNNNNNNNNNNNNNNNNNNNNNNNNNNNNNNNNNNNNNNNNNNNNNNNNNNNNNNNNNNNNNNNNNNNNNNNNNNNNNNNNNNNNACCACGGCUUACCCAGCUUAGGAAUGGACGGAUCCCGAAGCGGAUCGGGGCGGCCGAUGUUGGGGAAGAAGGCACCUCGAGGACUCCUUCCUGGAUCGAGUGGUGCUGUGGAGUGAAGCACGGGUGUGGAGAGGAGCGGGAUGAACUCCGAAGCUCGGGGGAGAGGCUCUAUAUAUAGGCGUCGUGGGAGGAGCUUCGACAUUUACUCCGGCAAGCGAUUCCGGUGAGGCAGGGGCUCGAGCAGGCGAUUAGGUGGUGCGGGUAGUACCUAACCACCAUGGGGUCUCAUUUUUGACCAGAGACGGGCUGGUCAUCGACGGAGGGAGCGUGGUGACAACGCGGCUCUUGCUCUACGCAGUGGCGGCAGAAAAUGCGCUCUGAGCAGCUCGGUGCAUGGCGACGGCUUUCGCGGCAUGCACUGGCGAUGGAGGACACGCGGAGGCUGCAGAGCCGUUGGACAGUGUCGGGCGACGCGGGGCUACAACAGAGGAGGUGUUGCGGCUGAUGUAGGGCCGCUAUCGGAGUUUGGCCGUCUCUGCCAGCUUGCCACCAACACUGGGAUGCCUCCAAGCUUCCACUCGGUAGAACAUCAUCAUGAGCUCAAUGUGACUAAGGAGUUAGUGACACGAUGACGUGCUACGGAACGAGUCAAGAGACUUACCGGUAACUUGAUUGAACAAGGUAUAGGUAUACCGACGGUCGAAUCUCGGGCAAGUUCUAUACCGACAGACAAAGGGAAUUGUAUACGGGAUUCAUUGAAUCCUUGACAUCGUGGUUCAUCCGAUGAGAUCAUUGUGGAGCAAGUGGGAGCCACCAUGGGUAUCCAGACCUCGCUGAUGGUUAUUGUCNNNNNNNNNNNNNNNNNNNNNNNNNNNNNNNNNNNNNNNNNNNNNNNNNNNNNNNNNNNNNNNNNNNNNNNNNNNNNNNNNNNNNNNNNNNNNNNNNNNNCCUCCUAUAACAUUGANACCCNGUUUGGGACUUGGCUAAAUGAUUCAGAACCUAAGUUAGCGGUGCAUAUUCGAGUCAGAGUAUGUGCAUUACCUUGGGCCAUAUGGAACUAUCGGAAUGUCGUCAUUUUUACCAGGACAAUAGCUACAAUUCAUCAAUGUAAUGUAUUAUGUGCUUACAAUAAGAAUUUGCAUGGCAUCUUUUGUCCUACUCUCCCGUGGCAGUGGGGUCCAAAGGGAAACUAAGGGAUAUUAAGGCCUCCUUUUAAUAGAGAACCAGAAAAAACAUUAGCACAUGGUGAAUUCAUGAACUCCUCAUACUACGGUCAUCAUCGGAGAGGAUCCCAACUAUUUUCACUCUCGGCCCUACGGAUCAUAACACAUAAUAUGUGCAUACAACUUGCAAAAUAGGAUCUAAAUACUAUUAUAUUCAUGGAAACGUAAUAGGUUCAAAUCUGAAAUCAUGGCCCUCGGGCCCCGUGGUCGAACACGACUAAACUUAAACUAAGUACGAACGUAAACGUACUAAGUACGAACCAAACUACUACUAACUUCCUACGAAACGAAACUAAGUUAGGUAGGUAACUUAACGGGUAAGGGUACUAACGAACCGUAACCCCUAAAACUAAANNNNNNNNNNNNNNNNNNNNNNNNNNNNNNNNNNNNNNNNNNNNNNNNNNNNNNNNNNNNNNNNNNNNNNNNNNNNNNNNNNNNNNNNNNNNNNNNNNNNAGAUCUGAGAUUGGGGGUGGCAGAGCCGUGUUGGCCCCACAAGCUUGCCCACCGCCACCAGGGGGGUGGUGGCGGUGGCAGGGCUUGUGGCCCACUGGCCCACCCCCUCAGGUGGAUCUAAGCGCAUGUAUUUUUCAUAUUUUCCAAAAAUGUUCCCCGUAAAUUUUCAGGACGUUUGGAGAACUUUGAUUUCUGCACAAAAAUAACACCAAGGUAAUUCUGCUGAAAACAGCGUCAGUCCAGGUUAGUUCCAUUCAAAUCAUGCAAAUUAGAGUCCAAAACAAGGGCAAAAGAGUUUGGAAAAGUAGAUACGAUGGAGAUGUAUCAACCAACUCCAUGCAGCCUCACGCUCAGCUGCUGCUUUCUUGUCCUCCUCGGUCUCAUCGCCGAACAGAUCCAUGUCAUCAUCAUCAUCUUCAUCCUGCAAGAAGGUCAAACACAUAAUGACAAAACAAAAAUUAUAUUCGAAUUACAAAAGAGAUCUAUGACGAUUGACAUAAACGAGACANNNNNNNNNNNNNNNNNNNNNNNNNNNNNNNNNNNNNNNNNNNNNNNNNNNNNNNNNNNNNNNNNNNNNNNNNNNNNNNNNNNNNNNNNNNNNNNNNNNNGCUUUUUCUUGAAACUAAAAUAAAAAUACGUCGGUUGCUAAAAAAAAAUAACAAGUGGGUCGGAAACUAACAAUGGGUGAAAUCACAGUAUGGCGCGGGAUAGUAAAAAUGCGCCUAGGGCGAGGGAGAGGGGCAACUGGAGGCUCACCUUGGGCCUUUUGGGCCUAAUCUGGAGGGGGGCGGAGCUGGGCCGGCUCGGCUAGGGGUGCGAGGUGGGCCGAAGGGGCGCUGCGCUGGGCCGCGGGAUGGAGUUGGUUGAUACAUCUCCAUCGUAUCUACUUUUCCAAACUCUUUUGCCCUUGUUUUGGACUCUAAUUUGCAUGAUUUGAAUGGACCCAAGCCUGAGACUGAGUGCUUCUAUUGCAAGGGAAAAGGUCACUGGAAGCGGAACUGCCCCAAAUACUUAGCGGACAAGAAGGCCGGCAACGUUAAAGGUAUAUGUGAUAUACAUGUUAUUGAUGUGUACCUUACCAGCGCUCGUAGUAGCUCCUGGUAUUUGAUACCAGUGCUGUUGCUCACNNNNNNNNNNNNNNNNNNNNNNNNNNNNNNNNNNNNNNNNNNNNNNNNNNNNNNNNNNNNNNNNNNNNNNNNNNNNNNNNNNNNNNNNNNNNNNNNNNNNCAGGCAAGCUUGGAAAUGUCACCUUUCGAAGCCUUAUAUGGAAGAAGAUGUCAAACUCCUCUAAAUUGGUCAGAAAUCGAAGAUAGCCGCAUCUUCGGCCCGCAACUACUUAAAGAGGAAGAGGACAAGGGGGAGUUGAUACGUCCAUUUUGCAUCAUGUUUUCAUGUUGAUAUUUAUCGCUUCUUUGGCUGUUAUUUCACUUCACGGUACAAUUCUUAUGCCUUUUAUCUCUUAUUUUGCAAGGUUUACAUGAAGAGGGAGAAUACCGGCAACUGGAAUUCUGGCCUGAAAGUGGAGCAAAGUUGAGAUACCUAUUCUGCGCAACUCCAAACGCCGUGAAAAUCAACGGGGAUUAUUUUCCCAAUUUAUAAAAAAUAUUGGGCCGAAGAAGUGCCAGAGGGGCACCAAGGGGUGCCCACAAGCCUGCACGGCGCGGCCACCCCCCCACGGCCGCGCCAUGGGGGCUUGUGGGCAGCCCACUGGCCCACUGGCCCCCCUCUUUUGCUAUAUGGAGGGUUUCGUCCAGAAAAAAAAAAUCAAGGAGGAGCYKWKUCGUGGAUUCACCGCCGCCACGAGGCGGAACUUGAGCAUAGAUCGAGACGCCUCAUAGGUCUUUCGCAAAGUACAUACCUUGACAAGAUAUUGAAGAAGUUCAAUAUGGAAAACUCAAAGAAAGGGUUCUUGCCAGUUUUGCAAGGUAUGAGAUUGAGUAAGACUCAGUCGCCGACCACGGCAGCAAAUAGAGAGAAGAUGAGUUCUGUCCCCUAUGCUUCAGCCGUGGGCUCUCUAAUGYRWGMCAUGCUAUGUACCAGACCUGAUAUAAACCUUGCCAUAAGUUUGGUAGGGAGGUACCAAAGUGAUCCCGGUACGGAACACUGGACAGCGGUCAAGAAUAUCCUUAAGUACCUGAAGAGGACUAAGGAGAUGUUUCUCAUUUAUGGAGGUGACGAAGAGCUCAUCGGUAAAGGGUUACGUCGACGCUAGCNNNNNNNNNNNNNNNNNNNNNNNNNNNNNNNNNNNNNNNNNNNNNNNNNNNNNNNNNNNNNNNNNNNNNNNNNNNNNNNNNNNNNNNNNNNNNNNNNNNNUAUAUAGCUCGCAAGCUCGAAUACAUCGGGGGAGAGACAAAAGCAAAAGACUCAAACUAAAUACUAAACACUUAUUCCUCUAAGAGCAGAAAUAAAAACUGAAAAGGAAAGAACUAAAACAAAGGUAAAAGAAAAAGAUAAAAAGGUGAUACGAUACCAGGGCAACUCCCCCAAGCUUGGCAGAAGCCAAGGGGAUUGCCCAUACCAAUGCUUAGUUGUCUUCCUUUGGCGGUGAUGGUGGUGGAGUUGUUGCCUUUGAUUCCAAGAGAGCUAUCAGUCUUUGAUUUAUACCUUUGAGAUCUGUGACAUGGUUUUCCAACAAAACAACCUCACGAGAAAGGGAAAUAUUGCGAGCACGAGUUGUUUCGCAAAACCUCAAGAGUUCAAUCAAGGAUGGAGAUGGCACGUGGAGGAAGGGUUGGAGAAAUAUACUCCUUCUACUUCUUCAAUGUUGACAUAGGUUGAACUUCCUCCUUAGCUUGGGUUUUCUCCUUAGCUUGGUCCCUGGCUUCCGUGACUUCUACUCUUUUCAAAUCAGCAUCUACUUCUUCANNNNNNNNNNNNNNNNNNNNNNNNNNNNNNNNNNNNNNNNNNNNNNNNNNNNNNNNNNNNNNNNNNNNNNNNNNNNNNNNNNNNNNNNNNNNNNNNNNNNUCCGCUUUGGGUUCGAGAUUUUCUGGUUGAAGUUUCUUCACAUAAGCAUCGCAACCCCAAACUUUAAGAAACGACAACUUAGGUUUCUUGCCAAACCAUAGUUCAUACGGUGUCAUCUCAACGGAUUUAGACGGUGCCCUAUUUAAAGUGAAUGCUGCAGUUUCUAAUGCGUAUCCCCAAAAUGAUAGCGGUAAGUCGGUGAGAGACAUCAUAGAUCGUACCAUAUCUAAUAAAGUAGCGAUUACGACGUUCAGACACUCCGUUGCGCUGUGGUGUGCCAGGCGGCGUCAGUUGUGAAACGAYUCCACACUUYCUUAGGUGUGUGSCAAACUMGUGACUCAAAUAUUCUCCUCCACGAUCAGAUCGUAGACAYUUAAUUUUUCUGUCACGUUGAUUCUCGACCUCACUCUGAAAUUCCUUGAACUUUUCAAACGUCUCAGAUUUGUGCUUCAUUAAGUAGAUAUACCUACUCAAAUCAUCAGUGAGAGUGAGAACAUAACGAUAGCCACCGCGAGCUUCAACGUUCAUUGGACCACACACAUCAGUAUGUAUUAUUUCCAAUAAGUCGGUCGCUCUCUCCAUUAUUCCUGAGAAUGGAGUCUUAGUCAUCUUUCCCAUGAGGCACGGUUCGCAUGUGUCAAAUGAUUCAAAGUCAAGAGACUCUAAUAGUNNNNNNNNNNNNNNNNNNNNNNNNNNNNNNNNNNNNNNNNNNNNNNNNNNNNNNNNNNNNNNNNNNNNNNNNNNNNNNNNNNNNNNNNNNNNNNNNNNNNAACCUUUUGUGUUCUACUCGUGCAUAGAAUGUACGCAUAGAAAACCUGGCUCGGAUGCCAUGUUGGGUAACGUAGCAUAAAUUCAAAAUUUUCCUACGCCAUAUUCAGAUCUUCCGAUGGAGAGACCAGCAACGAGAGAGGGGUGAGUGCAUCUUCAUACCUUUGAAGAUCACUAAGCGGAAGCGUUGCUAGAACGCGGUUGAUGGAGUCGUACUCGCAGCGAUUCCGAUCUAGCGCCGAACAACGACACCUCCGCGUUCAACACACGUGCAGCCCGGUGACGUCUCCCGCACCUUGAUCCAGCAAGGAGGAGGGAGAGGUUGGGGAAGAACUCUAGCAACACGACGGCAUGGUGUCGAUGGAGAGACGAGGUCUCCCGGCAGGGCUUCGCCAAGCACCGGCAGAGAGGAGGAGGAAGAAGAGCAGGGCUGCGCCGAGAGACAGGGAAAAACCGUGUCUGUCAAUGGCCAAAAGUGCCCGAUAUAUAUAGGGGAAGGGGAGAGGGGGUGCCACCCCUAGGGUUCCCACCCUAGGGGGUGCGGAAGCCCCCCCAGAUGGGAGGUGCGGCGGCCGAGAGGGGGGAGGAGGGGGUGGCGCACCAUCUGGUGGGCCUUAGGCCCACCUGGCCUAGGGUUUGCCCCCCCCCYUUUYCUCUCCCUUGCGCAUUAGGCUGAGUGGGGAGGCGCACCAGCCCACCUAGGGGCUGGUUCCCACCCCCACUUGGCUCACCUUAUCUCCCGGGGUCGUUGCCCCCCUUCGGUGGUCCCCCGGGGCCACCUCCGGUGGUCCCGGUGAUCCCGGUACGUUACCGCUGACGCCCGAAACACUUCCGGUAUCCGAAACCAUCCGUCCUAUAUAUCAAUAUUUACCUCCGGACAAUUNNNNNNNNNNNNNNNNNNNNNNNNNNNNNNNNNNNNNNNNNNNNNNNNNNNNNNNNNNNNNNNNNNNNNNNNNNNNNNNNNNNNNNNNNNNNNNNNNNNNCCUAUAUAUCAAUCUUUACCUCUAGACCAUUCCGGAGCUCCUCGUGACGUCCGGGAUCUCAUCCGGGACUCCGAACAACUUUAGGUAACCUUGUAUAACAAUUCCCUAUAACCCUAGCGUCAUCGAACCUUAAGUGUGUAGACCCUACGGGUUCGGGAGACACGCAGACAUGACCGAGACACCUCUCCGGCCAAUAACCAUCAUCAGGGUCUGGAUACCCAUGGUGGCUCCCACUUGCUCCACGAUGAUCUCAUCGGAUGAACCACGAUGUCAAGGAUUCAAUCAAUCCCGUAUACAAUUCCCUUUGUUUGUCGGUAUAGAACUUGCCCGAGAUUCGAUCGUCGGUAUACCUAUACCUUGUUCAAUCUCGUUACCGGCAAGUCUCUUUACUCGUUCCGUAGCACGUCAUCGUGUGACUAACUCCUUAGUCACAUUGAGCUCAUGAUGAUGUUCUACCGAGUGGGCCCAGAGAUACCUCUCCGUCACACGGAGUGACAAAUCCCGAUCUCGAUUCGUACCAACCCAACAGACACUUUCGGAGGUACCCGUAGUGCACCUUUAUAGUCACCUAGUUACGUUGUGACGUUUGAUACACCCAAAGCACUCCUACGGUAUCCGGRRGUUGCACAAUCUCACGGUCGAAGGAAAAGAUACUUGAAAUUAGAAAAGCUUUAGCAUACGAACAAUACGAUCUAGUGCUAUGCUUAGGAUUGGGUCUUGUCCAUCACAUCAUUCUCCCAAUGAUGUGAUCCCGUUAUCAAUGACAUCUAAUGCCCAUGACCAGGAAACCAUGAUCAUCUAUUGACUAACGAGCUAGCCAACUAGAGGCUUGCUAGGGACACAUUGUGAUCUAUUUAUUCACACAUGUAUUACUGNNNNNNNNNNNNNNNNNNNNNNNNNNNNNNNNNNNNNNNNNNNNNNNNNNNNNNNNNNNNNNNNNNNNNNNNNNNNNNNNNNNNNNNNNNNNNNNNNNNNAAUAAUAAAAUGGUGAUUAUCAUAUUUCCUUGUUCAUGAUAAUCAUCUAUUGUUCAUGCUAUAAUUGUAUUAAUAGGAAACAAUAAUACAUGUGUGAAUAAAUAGAUCACAAUGUGUUCCUAGCAAGCCUCUAGUUGGCUAGCUCGUUAGUCAAUAGAUGAUCAUUGGUUUCCUGGUCAGUGGGCAUUAGAUGUCAUUGAAUAACAAGAUCAAAUCAKUKGGAGAAUGAUGUGAUGGAACAACGACCCAAUCCUAAGCAUAGCACUAGAUCGUAUUGUUCGUAUGCUAAAGCUUUUCUAAUGUCAAGUAUCUUUUCCUUCGACCGUGAGAUUGUGCAACUCCCGGAUACCGUAGGAGUGCUUUGGGUGUAUCAAACGUCACAACGUAACUAGGUGACUAUAAAGGUGCACUACGGGUACCUCCGAAAGUGUCUGYUGGGUUGGUACGAAUCGAGAUCGGGAUUUGUCACUCCGUGUGACGGAGAGGUAUCUCUGGGCCCACUCGAUAGAACAUCAUCAUGAUCUCAAUGUGACUAAGGAGUUAGUCACACGAUGACGUGCUACGGAACGAGUAAAGAGACUUACCGGUAACGAGAUUGAACAAGGUAUAGGUAUACCGACGAUCGAAUCUCGGGCAAGUUCUAUACCGACACACAAAGGGAAUUGUAUACGGGAUUGAUUGAAUCCUUGACAUCGUGGUUCAUCCGAUGAGAUCAUCGUGGAGCAAGUGGGAGCCACCAUGGGUAUCCAGACCCUGAUGAUGGUUAUUGGCCGGAGAGGUGUCUCGGUCAUGUCUGCGUGUCUCCCGAACCCGUAGGGUCUACACACUUAAGGUUCGAUGACGCUAGGGUUAUAGGGAAUUGUUAUACAAGGUUACCUAAAGUUGUUCGGAGUCCCGGAUGAGAUCCCGGACGUCACGAGGAGCUCCGGAAUGGUCUAGAGGUAAAGAUUGAUAUAUAGGAUAGAUGGUUUUGGACACCGGAAAUGUUUCGGGCGUCACCGGUAAUNNNNNNNNNNNNNNNNNNNNNNNNNNNNNNNNNNNNNNNNNNNNNNNNNNNNNNNNNNNNNNNNNNNNNNNNNNNNNNNNNNNNNNNNNNNNNNNNNNNNGGUAACCUUGUAUAACAAUUCCCUAUAACCCUAGCGUCAUCGAACCUUAAGWGUGUAGACCCUACGGGUUCGGGAGACAGGCAGACAUGACCGAGACACCUCUCUGGCCAAUAACCAUCAGCGGGGUCUGGAUACCCAUGGUGGCUACCACUUGCUCCACGAUGAUCUCAUCGGAUGAACCACGAUGUCAAGGAUUCAAUCAAUCCCGUAUACGAUUCCCUUUCUCUGUCGGUAUAGAACUUGUCCGAGAUUCGAUCGUCGGUAUACCUAUACCUUGUUGGCGCUACUAGCAGGACAGGCAACUGAGGGCUCACCCGGAGAUGUAGGUCUUGCCGGCGAGGUGCGCCUCGAGGGCCUUGAGCCCGUCGGCGGAGUGGAGGUCGGAGAAGGUGACGGCCAUCGGAUCCGGCGAGCUCGGGAGCUUGUCGAAUUCGCUGGGCGGCGGCGG
rnacentral:lncRNA from 1 species